GACGAACGCUGGCGGCGUGCUUAACACAUGCAAGUCGAACGGUGAAGCUCCAUCUUGCUGGAGUGGAUCAGUGGCGAACGGGUGAGUAACACGUGAGCAACCUGCCCCUGACACUGGAAUAAGCGCUGGAAACGGCGUCUAAUACUGGAUACGAGAAGGGUCCGCAUGGGCACUUUCUGGAAAGUUUUUCGGUUGGGGAUGGGCUCGCGGUCUAUCAGCUUGUUGGUGAGGUAAUGGCUCACCAAGGCGACGACGGGUAGCCGGCCUGAGAGGGCGACCGGCCACACUAGGACUGAGACACGGCCCAGACUCCUACGGGAGGCAGCAGUGGGGAAUAUUGCACAAUGGGCGAGAGCCUGAUGCAGCGACGCCGCGUGAGGGAUGACGGCCUUCGGGUUGUAAACCUCUUUCAGCAGGGAAGAAGCGAAAGUGACGGUACCUGCAGAAGAAGCACCGGCUAACUACGUG
rnacentral:rRNA from 1 species